rnacentral:rRNA from 1 species
UGGGGAAUAUUGCACAAUGGGGGAAACCCUGAUGCAGCGACGCCGCGUGAGUGAUGAAGUAUUUCGGUAUGUAAAACUCUAUCAGCAGGGAAGAUAAUGACGGUACCUGACUAAGAAGCACCGGCUAAAUACGUGCCAGCAGCCGCGGUAAUACGUAUGGUGCAAGCGUUAUCCGGAUUUACUGGGUGUAAAGGGUGCGUAGGUGGUAUGGCAAGUCAGAAGUGAAAGGCUGGGGCUCAACCCCGGGACUGCUUUUGAAACUGUCAAACUAGAGUACAGGAGAGGAAAGCGGAAUUCCUAGUGUAGCGGUGAAAUGCGUAGAUAUUAGGAGGAACACCAGUGGCGAAGGCGGCUUUCUGGACUGAAACUGACACUGAGGCACGAAAGCGUGGGGAGCAAACA